UAUAGAGGAAUUCGAUCACAGGGAAAGACCAUGUAUAUGAGCUCCAAUUGUUAGGGUCACACAAUUAACCGCUACUGCUGAAUGCUUACCAUACCAAAGAACACUUAACUUUUCUUCCUACUGUCCACUCUCUCAUAUCAAUACGAUAACAACCAUGACAUCGAUUUCAGUACCUUGUGUAAUUCACAAACACACAAGCAUAAUCCAAACCUUGGAACGAACAACUUUCAAUCCACAGAAUCUGAUCGAAAUAAUUCCUUCGAUUACAAUUCCUCUCCACUGAACUCACAACCUUGCGAUAAACAAUGACUGGAAACUUCCAUACAUCAUCAAUCUUUCACAACAAUUGAUAAAUAGUGAUCCAUAAAUAACUUUGUAAAUCAAACAUUGAUUCAUUAAAUUGAUUCUCUUCACUACAAUCAACACUAACACAAAAGAAACAAAAAAACUAAGAAGAAGAGAUAGCACCAAGCUUACCACGGCUCAUGACUAUCACAGUCUGGCAUUUUCUUCCUCUCUCCCAUCCUCCUUAUACUACUCCAAGAUACCAACUCUUAUACUACGGAUGAUAAUUACUUUUCCUGACUAUUCAUCUAUUCUACCUACUGAAUCACCUUUUCAACAGUUAUCUAUCCUUAUUUAUACUAUACACUAGAUAUCUACAUUCUGAAAAUAACUACUUAUUCUACAUAGUCCCACUCCUAACUGUGCAGCAUCUCCGCAAACAUAAUAUUGAUAAACAAAAAC
rnacentral:lncRNA from 1 species